GAUGAACGCUAGCGGCAGGCUUAACACAUGCAAGUCGAGGGGCAGCGAGGGUAGCAAUACCUGUCGGCGGCCGGCGCAAGGGUGCGUAACGCGUGAGCAACAUGCCCGUAUCAGGGGGAUAAUCCAGGGAAACUUGGUCUAAUACCCCAUAGAAAUCAUUUAAGGCAUCUUUUAUGGUUUAAAGCUUAGGUGGAUACGGAUUGGCUCGCGUGACAUUAGUUAGAUGGUAGGGUAACGGCUUACCCUGACUAUGAUGUCUAGGGGUUCUGAGAGGAAGGUCCCCCACACUGGAACUGAGACACGGUCCAGACUCCUACGGGAGGCAGCAGUGAGGAAUAUUGGACAAUGGAUGGAAAUCUGAUCCAGCCAUGCCGCGUGCAGGAAGAAUGUCCUAUGGAUUGUAAACUGCUUUUGUAUGGGAGCAAUAAGGUCUUCGUGAAGGCCGAUGAGAGUACCAUACGAAUAAGCACCGGCUAACUCCGUGCCAGCCGCCGCCGUAACAC
rnacentral:rRNA from 1 species